rnacentral:tRNA from 1 species
GUCGGCGAUGCCGGGGUGGCCCGACAGCGCCGAUUCGACUUCGGCGGGAAAGACAUUGGCACCGCCGCUGACGAUCAUGUCGACGCGGCGAUC